UACGUAGGGCGCAAGCGUUGUCCGGAAUUAUUGGGCGUAAAGAGCUCGUAGGCGGCUUGUCGCGUCGAAUGUGAAAACUCGGGGCUCAACCCCGCGCUUGCAUUCGAUACGGGCAGGCUCGAGUUCGGUAGGGGAGACUGGAAUUCCUGGUGUAGCGGUGAAAUGCGCAGAUAUCAGGAGGAACACCGGUGGCGAAGGCGGGUCUCUGGGCCGAUACUGACGCUGAGGAGCGAAAGCGUGGGGAGCGAACAGG
rnacentral:rRNA from 1 species